ensembl:lncRNA
AUGGUACCACCACGAUAUAUUUUUGUUCAGGUCGGAUCUAAUCAAAUCUCAGAUCUGGACUUGUUUGAAAUAUUUCAGCUGUUGGUGCAUCAGAAUAAACAUGUGGCAAACAGGCACGUCUCCUGUAAACAUUAUCUCUCCUCUGGCCUCCUUUAUCUGUCCAUUCAGAGAAGUUUGUUUUUCCGUCUCGACACGGGGGCUCCAUCUAAACACUCACAAUGCCCACUAGUGUGUGAUUGUGAUACGUACGUGCGCUUUCUCCAUGUUUGUGCUGGCACGGACGCAAGGAGGAUGAAGACAGAAGGACGCACAGUGUUCUCUAGGAUGCAUGGUGUUUAGUUUGGCAGCCGGACGAGCUGUGCAGCGCUAUCAGAUAUGGUAAACGCUGGAUGUUUAUAUCGCUCAAUCAUCACGGUGAUGAUCGUGUGGAAGCUUUACAUAAAUCACCGCUCAAGUUUGAUUUGUUGAAACCAUCCAUGUGUUGUAGUUUCCUAACCCCUCUCUCUCUCUUUCUCUCUCUCUCUCUCUUUGUGUUUUUCAUGGCACCGGAUGGAUGGACCCCAAGCGGAAGCGCAGCGGCCAGGAGAAGAUCUGAAGUGUAUUGUGAACAGGGGCCCUGGAUUAAGUGUACCAAGGGCUAAAUGCGGGGCUUUUCUCUGAGGGAUUAGACCCAGGGUUUGUAGGACCCCCACCUUCCUUCCCUUUGGCUCUGUCGAGAACAUUUGUCUGCUUUCAACCGUGAUGCUUGUGUACGGGACACCUCACAAUCUCCUCAAAGCAUUAAAGUGCCCCUAUUAUGCUCAUUUACAAGUUCAUUGGUUUAUUUUGGGAUUCUGCUCGAAUACUUUUUCAUGAUUUUAAGUUCCAAAACACAUUUUUCUCACAUGAUCUGAGCUUCUGCACCUCAGUUUUUGAGAGAGAGAAAUAAAAGCAUUAUUUAUGGAUAAUUUUGGCAAUGUUCAGUCAAAAGCUAGAUGCAUAAGCUCAGAUCAAUGAGGCUACAAUCAACCACUUCCUGAAAGAAAACUAUUUAUUUUUUUUAUAAAGAAUCCAAUACUUAGUAACUAUAUAGCAUGUGAGAUUUACUAGUCUGGUCCCUUUUGACCAGGAACAGGAACUGUGGAUCUGAAAGACCAUAUUUUUGUUCAUGCAUUCUUCAAAAUACAAAACAGAGUAAUGCAGGUUUGGUACAAAGUGAAGAUCAGAGAAUGAUUACAAGUUUUGGAUAAACUGUGCCUUUAAGGUUAACUUAAAUUUGACAUUAUCACUUUUGCUAUUGCUUUUUUUUUAUAUAUAAAAUUUGUUUUAAAUCAGAAUUUCUCUCAACUCCAUCAAAGCUUGUCAAAGUGCAUUAUCUGCAAAGGAUUCAUUUGUUGCUAUCUUAAAGGGGUGUUUACACAACAGUUGAACUAAAACCGGAAAACUUUGUAUGCUUUUUGGCCAUUCAUUUACACAACAGCUGUGCUUUUUAUGCACCCGAAAAAGGUAAUUUUUGAAUGCUGCUUUCAAAGUGUUUUUUUUUUUUUUUUUUGUAAACUAUGAAAACUUGAAUUUGUGAAAACAGUGAUGUCAGGUGCAUGUUCAGUCUAUGAGUAUGAGUAUGUGUGCAUAUGCAUAAUGUUACAAAAUGACUCGCAUCGUACUGUUUUAGUUGUUUUUGUGUAUCUGUGUGAACGGGAAUAGUUUUGAGAUUAUAGUGACCUGUCUGUGCAUGAAAGUUUUUUGACCGUGUCUAUGAUGUUUUGGUUUUGGAAAAGAAUAUUUUCUUUCACUGUCCUCAGAACCUCAGGUGAAGUGGAAUGGGGUUUAUAGUUGAAACGCUCUAAAUCUUGCACCUUUAUGAAUGCUGUUGUUGUUCUCCAAUGCCUGGCAUCUGCAUUGAAGCCCUGCUGAGACUCAGGGAGAGCUGGCCUGCGCUCCAGAGCACACAAACCUCUGUAGAUUUCAGAUAAUAAAAUCUCAGAUGUUUAUGGUCCAGUGCGGCCACACUGGGUUUUUUUUUAGCUCACAAAACCUGAUGAAUUAAAGAUUGAGUUAAUAUGUGCUCGUCUUGCUGUGGUAGUGUCGUAAUAGUGACUUGUUCCAAUGUCUCUUCAUGAAGUGUUCUCACCUGGUUUCUGUCAUGGAUAAAUGCGUCCAUGCAAUUAUUCUGCCUGUAAAAGCAACAAGCAUACUACUGUUCACUCUCAUAAAGAUGUGACUCUUUCACCCUCCUUGUCUUUUUCUCGACUCUUCACACCUCAUUUGAUGCUGUAAAUGCUCUUGGCUCGGCUCUUCGUCCAGUAAACGCAACUUCUGCUCAUUAAUAGUCUGUACUAGCCCAUUAUUCCAAGAACUGCUAUUAUUCUGUAGGUUCAUUUUCCAAAUGUCUUUUAUUUAUUUUUGCACAGUUCAUAUUCCCAGUAGAUCUUGUUACGAGACUUAUAUAUUCUUUUGCAGACUUUUUUUGUUCUCAGAAUUGCCUGAUACGGACUGUAUAUGCACUUUACAAAGCCCAAUUCUGAGGGGAAAAUACAAUUUUAUUACAAAAGUGAGUUUAUAUGUUGCAAUGCUGACUUGAUUUGUCAAAUUAUGAGUUUAAAUCUCAAGAAAAAAAAUCAGUGGCAGAAAGGAACACACACACACACAAACAAAAAACAAAUAAAUACAAAUAGCAUGACAGCCAGUGGGAUACAAUGUUGUUUUGGGGCCCAGGUGACUUUCGUUAUCUGGACAAAAACAGUUCAAACAAUCUUCAAUAUAUCAAGUUCCACAGAAGAAAGAAGCCAUACAUGUUUGAACCAGGUUUUUGGACAUGAGAGUGAAUAAAUGAUGACAGCAUUUUCAGAGAGCCAUCCAUCAAUCAUCAAAAACAGCAAAACAUGUUUGCUGUUUAAUAUGAACAAGAUGGCUGGACGUGAAGCGGUGACAUAACGUCUCACUGCGCUAUAUAUCUCCAGCGUUUCAGUUCAUGAACGCUUGUGGUCUGCCGACAGCGUGUUUGCUGUGUCCUCGUCGUGCAUAAAUCCCAAAGACUGAGACUUUUACUGCUCUUCCUGAUUUAACACACAUUUCAGCAAUGUCAGAAAUGUUUCAAGCAUUACAUCCUCCUAAAUCCAGCAUUUAUUUUACAUAUAAAGCAAUCAGAUGUGCUGAUUUACUAAACACUUACUACUGUACGUAUGUAGCUGUCGCGGUGAAACUGAUCGCUUGUAAUGUGGCUCAUGCCAGAAUAUAUAUAUAUAUAUAUUUCAGAACAGUUCUGAAGUGGAUCUAGUCUAGACCGUCUUAACUCUGCUCGUUUAUGUCUUCCAGUGGAUGGGUGGAGUAACUUUCUGCCUUUUUCCAUUUUCUUGUCCAAAACUGUGUCUCUGGCUGUAACUGGACUGCUUGACCACAGACUCAUCAGUGCCCUUGGAUGCAUGAACUGCUGAGUUGGAGAAACAUGCACAAGUAAAACUGCUUUUUCCUUUGAAACAUUCAAAUAGGAAGCAAUCCAUUGUAGACACUUUUAAAAUGGGAUUCAUAUACGUCCACGAUCACUGCAAGUAUUUGACUAGUCUGAUCCGAUAAGUGCAGUGAAGUAAAAGUGCUUAGACAGCAUUUAUUAGACAGCAUCACAAAUUUGACUGUACAAAAAGUACUAUGACUGCACCAUGCUACAGUGAUUUAUAGCACUGGCAAAAAAAUCUGCAUGCAUUAAAUAGUGUUCUUUUUU